AACGAACGCUGGCGGCAUGCCUAACACAUGCAAGUCGAACGAGACCUUCGGGUCUAGUGGCGCACGGGUGCGUAACGCGUGGGAACCUGCCUUGAGGUUCGGAAUAACUUCCCGAAAGGGAUGCUAAUACCGGAUGAUGUCUUCGGACCAAAGAUUUAUCGCCUUUAGAUGGGCCCGCGUUGGAUUAGCUAGUUGGUGGG
rnacentral:rRNA from 1 species